rnacentral:rRNA from 1 species
UACGGGGGGGGCAAGCGUUGUUCGGAUUUACUGGGCGUAAAGGGCGCGUAGGCGGUAGCACAAGUCAGUUGUGAAAUCUCCGGGCUUAACUCGGAAAGGUCAACUGAUACUGUGCGACUAGAGUGCAGAAGGGGCAACUGGAAUUCUCGGUGUAGCGGUGAAAUGCGUAGAUAUCGAGAGGAACACCUGCGGCGAAGGCGGGUUGCUGGGCUGACACUGACGCUGAGGCGCGAAAGCCAGGGGAGCGAACGGG